CCUCUUCUCUUCUCCUCUUUAACAAGAGACUUAAGCUAGCAAACCCUAAUAGUGAAUUAAAGAUCUCUUUGCUUCCCUCUUCUCUUCUCCUCUCUGACAAGAGACCCAAGCUCUUGUUAUUGUUCUUCUUCUUCUCUCAUCUUCUCUGCCUUAUUUGAGUUUUGUCUUGUACCUCUGUUUUGGAGGUAUGAUGAGAGUUUGCCCCUGGUUUUAGAAAAGAGAGAGAGAGAGAGAGAGAGAGAGGAGGAGAGAGAGAGAGAGAGAGAGGGGAAGAGCUUGGUUAUUCUUGAGAGAGAUUUAGAGAGAGUAGAUUUGGGGUUUAUGAGGUAGAGAGAGAGAAAGUAAACAUAAACUCGAGCCUGCUAUGGAACUUUUGUGAGCAAACAGAAACUCGAGUGGCUGUUUCCUUCAUAAUUUCUUUGUGACAAUUGAUUUUCCUUUGAAGAUUUCGAGUUGAAGUAGUUUAAAGAGAGUAUAGAUUUGAGGUUUAUGAGGUCAAGAGCAGUGUAUCAAAAAGCGCUAGGCGGUUCCUAGGCGGCCUAGGGGGUCCAGGCCUCCCAGCGCUUAGGCGGCCCGUCAAGAACCUGGGCAGCUGCCCAAUUGAAAAAAACAUACCAAUAUAUUAUAUAUCAUAUUCCAAGUUGAAAAAAGAAAAGAUAGACGUUGAGAAGAGAAUUUUGAUAAUCCAUAUUGUUAAAGCAGUAAACUGUAAAACCAUACAAGUAUAGGAUAUAAAAGUCAACACUCAACACAACAAAAAUAUACAGAAUUUAGAAAAUAUACAGUCUAUCAAAAGUCAACACUCAUGACUGAACACAAUAGUCAGCAUUCAACAUUCAGCACCAAGAGGUAAGAGUCUUCAGUCGUCGUCAUCAUCAUCAUCAUCAGAAGGAAUAUCAAUAGGGCAAGCCUCAUCAUAUGCAUCAGAGUCAAGGCCAUCAUUAGAGUAAUCUCCUUCUUCAAUAUAACGCUCGUCUUCCUCUGUUUCUUCUAAAUUUGUCUCUUUCUCCUCCUCCUCCUCCUCUUCUUCUACCUUCCUCUUACUAGUAUGUGCAAUCUGUGCUGAUGAGGCCCUAGGAGUCUUGGCUGUCUGCCCUUUUCUUUGUGUUUCUGUGUACUCAAAUAUUGUAUAAUUUCCUCCUUGGUAGUCUCAGGAACAUUUUUACAUGGGGCAACAUCUCCCUUAAAACCGGCAAGGUAUUUUUUAAAUCGGUAAAUGCUCCCAUUAGUAUCAUUUUCACAAUAAUUACAUUUAAUACAAUAUUUAUCACUUGGAUUCGGGUUAUAACCAUACUUCCAACCUGGAUCACCACUCCGACAAGAACCUGGAGAAGAUACUUCAAUAGAACAAGGCUUAUUUUCAACCUUUUAUGGUUCUUCUAAAUUCAGAAGAAGUCUAAUCUCAUCCCGCACUGGUUUAAGAACCUUUGUACAAGAAGAAACAUUAUCUCUAACACCAACAAGGUGUUUUUUGAAUCGGCUAAUAACCCCAUUGGUAUCUUUUUCACAAACAUUACACUUUAUACAAUUUUUAUCAUUUGGUUUUGGGUUGUACCCAUACUUCCAACCCGGAUCACUUCUUUUAGUAGUGGCAGAAAUAGAUCUAUGACAAGGAUUUUGUUUUUGUUUUUGUUUUGGUUUUGCAUAACUUAUAUAUUGCUUAAUCUCCUCUCUGAUAGCUUCAGGAACAUUUUUACAAGGGGCAACAUCCCCCUUAAUACCGGCAAGAUGUUUCUUAAACCGGUUUAUGCCUCCUUUUGUAACUUUUUCACUAAAAUUGCAUCUAAUGCAAUUUUUUUCAUUUAAAUUCGGGCUGUAUCCAUAUUUCCAACCUGGAUUUCCACUCCGACUAACUUAUGAAAAAGACAUCUCAAAAUAAAACAAUCAAUCUAAAAAAUAAAGUUUUGCACUUAUUUUGAUUGCUCGAACUCCAAACUUUGAGACACUUCGAUCCAAUGAAAUGUAGUUUUUUGGAUGUUUCUUUUUCUCUAAAAGGGGUUCUUGUGGGAAUGAACUUAAAACCCUUCAUUUUAACAUUUUAUAUCUUUAAAAAAAAUCAAAACAAAAAACAAAAAAAAUCAUUUUUGCCUCUGGGCGGGGCGCAGGCCCUGGGCGGCCGCAUAGGCGGGUUCCAUACCGCCCAAGGACCACCGCUCAGUUUGGCCGCCUAGGCCUAAGCAAUGCGCCCAGGCCUUCUGAACCGCCUAGGUGCUGGGCGGCCCACUUUUUUGAACAAUGGUCGAGAGAGAGAAGUUUUGGGGUUUCUGAGGUAGAGAGAGAGUAGAUUUGGGGUUUCUGAGGUAGAGAAAGAGAGUAGAUUUGGGGUUUAUGAGGGAGAGAGAGAGUAGGUUUGGGGUUUUUGAGGUAGAGAAAGAGUGGGAGUAGAUUUGGGGUUUAUGAGGUUUCACGGUGUGGGUUGUUGGGUCACAAGGUGGGGUUUGCAUGGGGUGAGAGAGUAGAUUUGGGGUUUAUGAGGGAGAAAGAGAUUAGAUUUGGGGUUUCUGAGGUAGAGAAAGAGAGAGUAGAUUUGAGGUUUAUGAGGUUUCACGGUGUGGGUUGUUGGGUCAUAAGGUGGGGUUUGCGUUGGGUGAGAGAGCCGCACUUUCAUAAAAAAAAUUCAAGUUUGAUACUACAGAACUUUUUGUUUCAAUCUAAAAAUCUAAUAAAAUCUUGUGGUUGUCCAAACGUUUUAAAUCUACUUCACAAGAUUUUUGGCUUGCAAUACGGAAAUAUUGCAAUUUUGGGUACAUGCAAACUAGCACGUAAUCACGCCCUACAAAGAAUGGACCUCUUCCUUUUAAGUACAAACCAAAAGGAAUGAUACGUAAAAAUAAAAUAAAAAUAGAAAACUAAACUCUAUCUCUCCCUUCUCUUAAAAACAUGUCUUAACAUAUCCUACCCAACCCAACUAUGCUAAUCCUUAUCUAUAUCCAUCUUUUUAAAAAAUAAAAAACUAAACUUCCAAUUUUAUCCCUUAAAUCUCUACAACUAUAUCCAUCUUUUUUUUAAAAAAAAAAAAAAAAAAAACAAACUUCCAAUUCUACCCAUUAAAUCUCUACAACUAAAAAGAUAAGAAUAACCUAAAGAAAACUGAAAAUCCAGAUAAUAUAUUUUCGAAGUCCUAGAAAAAUAUAAAAAUUUGAAAAAUUAAAUUUUAUUUGCAUCAUUCUCUCGAGGUUGGGAGAAGCUCGACUUCGAGCUUACAUUUCUUAAAGGCCAAUGGUGUAAUUGGUGAUGUAGUCCGAUCAUUCUUGUCGGUACUGUGUCUUCAAUAAAUCAAUUCAUCAAAUACUUUGUAUUUAAGUUGAUGUCGAGCUUAAUCUUGAUUUCUUUUUCAAGUUCCUCAUAAAACUCAGGAUGAUCAAGCUGAAUACCAAGAUCAUGUAGAUGUUCUUCAGAUAGUGGUUCUUGCAUCACGAUACGCUUGUUACAUAUAGGAUUGGGAUUUAGAAUUGAUUUUGGUGGUAGUUUUGUCUAUAAGGUAAAAGUUGGCGCUAGAUCUAUGUGAUUGUGAGGACCAUCUUCUCCAAGAAUAGUGGUCUCUAAUCGUUGCAACCGUUGCUUCAUUUCAUGAACGUCGCUUUGAACAUCUUUUAUGACUUUGGUUAGAUUUUCUAAAAUGUCCCAUGCGAUUAUCCAUAAUAGGAUUAGUUUCGGUGGCGUUGUGAUGGUUGGAUAUGCUUUGCUUUGUUACCAAUUGAUGCAGGUAAAAAUAAUGAACCAGAAAAAAAUAAGAAAUAAAAAUAAAGGUUUGAGAGAUUCUACCCUCUCAGGGUUUACAAGGGAGUACACCCUAAGUUCUUUUCUCAUUUUGUUUAUUCCCCGAUCGCUCUCUACAAAGAAUUGACCUCUUCCCUUUAAAUACAAACAACAAUAAAAAGAAAAAAAAAAAAAAAACAAAAAAAAAACUAAAACUACCAUCUCUCUUUUAUCUCUUAAAAACAAGUGUAACAUAGCCUAACCAAUCCAACCAUGCUAAACAUUAUCUAUAUCUAUCUUUUUUCUUUUUAUAAAAAGUGCUACCCAUUAAAUCUCUUCAACUAAAAAAGAUGAGAAUAACGCUAAAGAAAACUGAAAAUCCAGAUAACAUAUUUCGUAAGCCCUAGAAAAAUAUAAAAAUUAAAGAAAUCAUUUUUUAUUGCAUCAGUUUUAGACUCCAAGGUUAUAAAGUGUGGCAUAUUAAGUACUCUGAAGGUCAUUAUAACGUAAUGGCCACAGUCAGAAGCAAUGUGUUAUAUGUAGAUAUGAAGGUAGUUGUCUAGAGCAGAUUAUUCACUUAUCGAUGUGUAUCAAUUGUGGGCAGAUUGUGAGUGCCAAUUUCUUAAUCUUGAUUUUUUAUCUUCAUUAUGUGAGAUAUAUUGACUGGCCAGAGUGUAAGUGCUGUUGUCUAAACCUUGAUUAUGUGUGUUCAUAUGGAUCACCAUGUCUUUCACAUUUAUCAUGGUAAUUGUUGAAGGAGUGAUCACAGCUUUUUGCAUCUGAAUGUUUGGUAUUUAGUAUGGAAAGAUUCCUCUUGGUUUCUUUGGUGCCAAACCUUAUGGGAUGAGAUUGGUUGUGUACCUUUUACGAGGAGAGAGGACCUUGUAUUGUGUUCAAUUUUUUUGGGUAAUUGUAGUUAAUAAUUAUAGUAACAGUGAAUUUUCCUACUCUUGAGGUAUCCUACUAUUGUUUAUUUGAAUUCCGGUGUUGAAAGUGUUUUGAUAGUUAAGGACUUGUAAUUUAUUUGUUAUUAGUUUUAUAUAUGUGUUUAUUUUAAUUCGUGUUUUCCCUUUUCUCCUUGCAUACUCCUGAUGAAAUUAUGUUUGGUUGGCAUUAUUUUAAAGAGGAUUAUUUAGGAAAUAUUCUGGAUUUCAAGUACAACCAGUAGUUUGUAUUUGAUACCUGUGAUGUUCUGAUGUUUCUGAGCAGCGCUACUUCUUUUCGGUAUAUUGUCGUAAAACUAACUGUGAACUUGUUUUGCCAGGGCAAGUAAUCAAAGGAUGGGACCAAGGGAUCAAAACCAUGAAGAAGGGGGAGAAAGCCAUCUUCACCAUCCCCCCUGAACUUGCCUAUGGUGCCUCUGGUUCUGAACCUACAAUACCACCCAAUGCCACCCUCCAGUUUGAUGUGGAGCUUCUCUCUUGGUCGAGUGUGAAGGAUAUUUGCAAGGAUGGUGGCAUAUUUAAGAAGAUCCUUGCUGAAGGAGAGAAAUGGGAGAACCCCAAGGACUUAGAUGAGGUUUUAGGUAUGCAUCACUUUCUCAACCUGGAACGGUUGCAUUAAUACUAAGAUUGAAAAUUUGAAUGUGGUUCUAUUUUACCGAAUUUUAAUAUUUGUGCAGUGAAAUACGAAGUGAGACUUGAGGAGGAUGGUACAAUUGUUUCAAAAUCAGAGGGGGUGGAGUUUACAGUGAAGGAGGGUGAGUAGAGAGAAGAAUGGAAUGCUUUACCUGUCAAGAGACGAAAAAAGUGCGACAGUACACUCUAGGGAGUGUCCACAGUUGAUUGUAUAUUUCGUCUCUCAUUCUUUAUGAUUGGAAUGCAGGGUAUUUCUGUCCUGCUCUGUCGAAGGCUGUAAAAACCAUGAAGAAGGGAGAGAAAGUACUGUUGACUGUGAAGCCUCAGUGUAAGUCAUAUUUUGAUGAUUACAUUAUGUGCAUGAAUAUGGUGAUUAAUGUGUUGUUACAAAACUUGAUAAUUUGUAGUUACAAGAGUGACUGAUGUUUUUUCUUUUGGGGUGCAGAUGGUUUUGGUGAGAAGGGAGGGGAAGCUUGUGGGGAAGAAGGGGCUGCUGUUCCAUCCAAUGCCACCCUCCAUGUUACUCUUGAGCUGGUGUCUUGGAAGACAGUCUCUGAGGUGACUGAUGACAAGAAGGUGCUCAAGAAGGUACUCAAGGAAGGAGAGCGCUAUGAGAAACCCAAUGAUGGUGCAGUUGUGAAAGGUAUGGAGCUCACCUUUGCCAUUGUUGAAUACUUCAUGGAGUGGUAAUUUGUUUUGCCCGUGGUUGUGUUUGCUAACACUCAUAAUUUUGUUGCAGUUAAGUUCACUGGGAAGCUGUUGGAUGGCACGGUGUUUGUCCAGAAAGGUUCUGAUGAGAAGCCAUUUGAGUUCAUGACUGGAGAAGGUGAGGAUAGAGCCCUCCUUCCUAGUUCCUUUCUACCCAGAGACACCCUGCUCUUUACAUGAGUGCUAAUGUUCAAUCAGGUUGACUUGUAUUUGAUGAAUUUCUUUAUGUACAGAGCAAGUGAUCGAAGGGCUUGAUAGGGCAGUGAUGAGCAUGAAGAAAGGGGAGGUAGCGUUGGUGACCAUCUCCCCUGAAUAUGCCUUCUCAUCCGUAAAUACGCAACAGGACCUGGCUGUAGUGCCUGCUAAUUCUACAGUGCAGUAUGAUUUGGAGCUUAUGUCUUUUGCUAAGGUUCUUUUUUCCUCUGUGCUCCCCGAGAAGCUAGUUUCUAUUUAUGUUGGUUUGUUCUUUAUGCAAAUCCUUAUUGCUAGAUGAUCUUCAGGAGAAGGAGUCUUGGGACAUGAACACAGCAGAGAAAAUUGAAGCGGCCAGUAAAAAGAAGGAAGAAGGCAAUGCCCUGUUCAAAGUGGGCAAAUAUCUAAGAGCUUCCAAGAAAUAUGAGAAGGUAAGAGAGAAGAAGCCUCUCUCUCUCUCUCUCCCUCCCCCCCCCCCCGAAGCUGGCUGAAAAUUUGGAAAUGGGCAUUUGCAGGCUGCCAAGUACAUUGAAUAUGACACUUCAUUUAGUGAGGAGGAGAAGAAACAGUCCAAGCAACUCAAGGUGACCUGCAACCUCAACAAUGCUGCAUGCAAACUCAAACUGAAAGACUAUAAACAGGCGGAGAAGCUCUGCACCAAGGUCUGCUUUUCCUCCACUUUUUCUCUAUUUACCUUUUAUUUUCAAGGAAUUUGAUGUAGGAUCAUGUCAUAGAUUAUAUGCUCUCUUUCUCUCUCUGUCUCUGUAGCUUCUCUCUCUUACUGUAUGUUAGCAUUGACAAUUUUGAAGUUAUGAAAUGUGAGCAGGUACUGGAUCUGCAGAGCAAAAAUGUGAAGGCUCUAUACAGGAGGGCACAGGCCUACAUUCAUACAGCAGAUCUGGAUUUGGCAGAGCUUGACAUUAAGAAAGCUCUGGAGAUCGAUCCUGACAAUAGGUAUACGCUGAGUUGUUGCUUUGUGAAGAGCGUUUCAGUUGUGAGUCUUAUAUAGAAUGUGUUCGAGGGGCAAGAAACGAUAGAUGGAACUGACCAAAUAUCUUUUGGUUUUUUAUGUAUUUGGAAUGAGUAGGGAUGUGAAGCUAGAGUACAGGACAUUGAAGGAGAAACUGAAAGAGUACAACAAAAAGGAGGCCAAGUUUUAUGGCAAUAUGUUCAGUCGAAUGAGUAAACUGGAGCAACUGGAAUCUAAUGUAUGUAAACAACACAGUUGAUAAUGAUCUCUCUCUCCCUCUCUCUCUCUGUACCUAACUGACAGUUUGCAUAUGCGUGAUGAAGCAGAAGGCUAACCAGGCAAGUAGCAAGCAAGAGGAGGAACCAAUGAACAUUGAUGGAGAGGCAGUGGCGGCAGCCUAGAGAGUGAUGGUCUCGAGUCUAUUUGGUUCCACUCCACGAGCACAAUUGAGAAAUGCAAGUGGGUGGUGUGGUUGCUAGUUCAUAUUAGAGUGUCUCUGAAACAGAAAUGACGUGUCAAGUGUUGUUAAUCGCAAGGUACAUUAUACAUAGGUUUCAUAUGGAGUUAUUAAUCUUAACUGUCUGGUUGAGUGAGUUCUAUGAGUGAGAGCUGACAAGUUACCCGCUGUAAGCACUGGGCCUUAACACUUUUUAAAAUUACACGCUCUUUCUACUUGUUCAAAAAAACUUCUGGUUAAUGUUACCCUUUCUGAAUGUCGAAUUGAGACACCAAUGAUCUGUAGAAUCUACAAUUGUUGGGGCUUUUCGAGUAUGGUUCAAUUUGGAUCAUUUACCAAGCUUGGAGCAUAUUAGAUUGGCAGGAAAAAGUCGGUAUUGUGGAGAAAAUACAAUUUCUUUUCCUUAUUAUAAAUAUGUGAAGAUGGAUGGGGGCAGGUGUUUGCAGUGGGGCGGGGUAGUGCCAUGAAUAUAAUAUGGCUCUAGUUCUUGCUCUUCUUUGUUUUAAAGGAUUCGUCUUUGAAAAUUUCAAUCUGUAUAAAUUAGUAUCCUGCCAUGACUCUUAUUUUACAGCCGCGUGAAAGCACAAGUUUUAGGAGGGUACAAAUUUAUGAGAGUUAUGAAGAUCAAUUUGUUUCUAUGCAAUGGUUUGUUCAUAGUAGUGGGUUGGAACCAUGGUUUAAAAAUCUGGAUUGGAUUUUUAAUUGUAUCUUUAAAUGUCGCGAAUCACCUAAUCCCUCACCUUAUGGUAGACUUGUCGAGGUGAGAUGUUGAGCUGAUAAUGCACAUUGAGGUUUAUGAGUAAAUGUUUUUUUUCAAUCUUUUUUACGACUUUUUAUGUUUUUUUCUGUCAUAUUUUGGCCUUUUGUAGUAAAUUAUUGAUUGAAAUCAUUAUUAAAUGGCUAUAAAAUUGCAAUCGAUUGUGUCGUUUUUUUAUAGUUUCUAAAUUUUUUUGCCAUUUUAUUGAUAUAUCUUCAGAAUAUUUUUACUGCAAUUUAGUACAUUUGAAAGAGAAUCUUUAUCUAAGCCUUUACAUAAAUGUGUGUUGAUUUAUUUGUUUUACCGAAGAUUCUAAGGUUGGACAAAAUGUUGGUGCUGAAAAACAAUGACCUUGAUUUAAAAUUAAAGAUUCUGAUCAAUUAGGUCGUUUUGAAUCAAAUUGAGUUGUGUUUUUUUAUCAUUAGGAUUUUAUCUCUUAAAUAAAUGAGGUAAAUUUAUUUAUCAUUUAGUACUUUUUUUAUGAAUAUUUUCUAGCUUGCAUGGGAUGAAAAGUUUAGGGUUUUGAAAAUUUUGCCAUUGCAUCAAUUUAAUCUUUGAUGUCGAAUUAUUUUUGCUAAAAUUUGAUGGGUUUGAAAGGGAAUUGAAGCUGUUACAUAAUAUGAGUAGUGAUUUAUUCGAUCUACAAAAAAUUGUGGUUCGAUUUUUGCUCAAAACAUUGCUACUGAAAAACUUGUUCCAUAUCUAAAAUUGAAAAUCCCGAUUGAUUUAUAGCUUGUUUGCAAUUAAAAUAAUUGUAGUUUUUAUCGUUAUGACUUUAUCUCUCAAACAAAUUAAAUAAAUUAAAGUAUCAUUAAGUAAUUUUUGUUCUAUGAAUUUUUUCUUGGUACCAUAUGAUGAAAAGUCUAGGAUUCUAAUAAUAUCCAUCAUUUUAUCGAUUUAAUCUUUGAUAUCAAACAAUUUUUGCUGCAAUUUGAUGCGUUUGAAGGAUAAGUAAAGCCUUUAUAUAAUAUGUGUGUUUAUUUGUUCAGUCUACAGAAGAUUGUGAGUUAAUUUUUGUUUAAAACGUUGCUUGAUUUUUCGAACUUUUGAAAAAAUUAAUUUUAAAAAAAAACUUAUUUUGCUAAAUAAAAUUAGGUCUUAUGAUGAAUAUGGGCUCUUGAUACAUAUUGCGUGGGAAUAAAUAUUUUCUAUUUUUAAUUAUCUUCAGUUUUUUCUCAUGAUUUUGCAAAUUUUAGGGGAAAAAUGUUGGUUUUUUUAAUUUUUAUUCUUUUUUUUUCUUUUAAUGUUAGAUUCGUUCUUUUAAUAUUGUAGUUUUUUUAAUCUUGUUUUUAAUUAUUUUUUUAGUGAUAUGAAUGAAUGAUUGAUAGACAUCUAAACAAGAAAACGCUUACGCAUUCACGUAUUUUAACAAAAUAAUGAAAAAUAUAUAAUGCAUUAGUCCCAAAACUUUUUAGAAACUCAAAAAAAUUAUUUUUUAGAGAUUUUUAGUGAUUGUUCUAAUUUUUAUUGGGCCGAAACCUACCUGUCCAUCCGAUUCUGCAAUCCAGAUCAUUGAUCCAUCGAUCUGACAUAAUUUUUGAGGUGGCUGAUCGAAUUACCGAUCCGUUUUUUUAAACCUUGAUUGGAACAAUAUAUUCGAUAAUUAUUAUUAUUAUUAUUUGAAACAAACAUAAAAAACGAAAAAAAUGGAAGGGAGACAGGAGAUCAAUUAGGAUCUACCAAAGGACAAAUCUUUUGCAAAAUGAACCGGAUCCUUUUGAGUGUGGUUUUGAAGAAACUUCACUCAAGCUUCUCAAUUUUUUGAGUGAUCACUAGAUAGGCUCUGAAAUUGCUGGGUUUUGUCGGCUCCUAGUUUCGUGAUUUGGGGGGAAUCAUAUGCUCUAGUUUUUAACAAAUUUUAGGAGCAACAAUUCUUUUAUUUGGUUUGUAGUUGGUAAAAGUUUUCAGUUCAUAUGUUUCGAUUUUGAUUUUCUCACUCAGUUGUAGGGAUUUUGUAAAAGUUUUUGGCAAAAUCCACCAAAUUGAAGAUUUAAUCUUAGAUUUUUGAACUAAAUCAAAGGAUUUUCAUUCACAAAUUUCUACAUUAGUACAGCGUCCCUUUAAUGGACAAAAACUUGGAUUUAUAUAAAUCUAGCCCAAAAAUCUGAGAUCAAAAUUGGAGCACAGUUUGGCUCCUUGAAAUUUUUUCUUUUUGAAAAAAAUAAAAAAUUUUCGUGGAUAAAUUGUUCAAUUAUCUUAGGUUUUGUUUGGUUUCAUGUUAGGAAGGAUCAUUCAUUUGAUAUUUUCUUUGUUUUAUAUACGUAUUUAUUAUCAUGGCUAUGUUUUGAUUUUUUGGAUAAUUCCUCUCUUUUUUAGAGAAAACAUAAUCUAUUUUGAUACUACUAAAAGAAAAAUUUUAGAUUCUUUGUUUUAUAUACGUAUUUAUUAUCAUGGCUAUGUUUUGAUUUUUUGGAUAAUUCCUCUCUUUUUUAGAGAAAACAUAAUCUAUUUUGAUACUACUAAAAGAAAAAUUUUAGAAGCGAGGAUAGCGUCAAACCUGAGACCUGAGAGGGGGUGUGUCUUGAGGAUGGUGAUUGCAUAAUUUGAAAUUUAUUUCAAGAACACAUUUUUAGAGAGAGAAAAGAAGCUUUUGAGAAAAUGGGAGCUCAAUAAUUUUCGCUGUUUCAUGCUCCUAAACUGCUUUAUUUAUAGGAAAGAGAAGGGGGCCUAAUGUUCCAUAUCUCAAUGGGUUUCUCAUAAACAAUCACUCAGAUUUUAGGGAUGCUUAUUUGAUGCAAAUCGCAUCUGAAACAUUUAUUUAUUUUUAAUUUUUUUAAAAUUAAUUUUUAGGGAAGUAGGUAGACUUCUUUUUAUUAUGUAUUAGUUUUAUUUUUUAAGAAUCACAUUAUCAAGGUUAAAUAUUGUUUCUAUUAAUAUUUUGGGGGUGUGAUUCGAAUUAUAUGGUCCUUUUGCUAUGUAACUAAGUUAGGGAGAAAGAGUUUGGGGGACUAUGGCAUGAUUUGAAUAGGGCGAAGAGUACCUAUUUUAGUGAGGGAGAUAAUGAUUCCUUGCUUUAAAGAAUUUAAUAAGGUGAGGUAUUGAAGAUUAACUUUCCUUUUUGAUGGGGUGAUAAGUGAAUGGGGUAACAAAGACAAAGAGGGAACUCAUGUGGCAUAUUGGUGGUUGAAGGGAGGGUGAGAAAAAAUCCUAAAAAACGGAUCCAGAAAGAAAAUAAGAAAGUUUGGACAGAUGUUGAUUUGCAUGAUUUAUAGAGAGAUUCAUGAAAGGUUACAUGAGAGAAAUGAGUUGCAAAGAGAGACUCUUUUUUUAAUUUUUUAAUUUUGUAUUUAAGAGGGGUGGCAUCCCAAUUAGAAGGAUUUUGGAUAUUUUUGUCGAGAGUUUUUUAUGAAUGAAGAAAAAUAGUUUCUUUUUCUCUUGACUUGAUUUACAACCUCCUUUUGUCUCGUAAUUGUUGAAUUUUUGCUUGUUUAAGAUCAACAGAAUGCCAGAGUUUUUAAGAUCCCUUUGCAUUAUUUAGUAUGAGAGCACAGUUCAAAAAGGUUCGCAACUACAAUGGCUAGUCAUGGAGGUUGCAACCGUAGAAAUGCCGAACAAGACCAAAUGUACAAAAAAAUCGACAACUUGAUAGAGAUGAUUGAAAAUUUGUUGCAAAAAAAAAGGUUGCAACAUCACACAUAGAACAAGAUGAUAUCUAUAGUUUUAGUAUUGGGUGAGUGUGGCCAUUAAAGACUUUAUGAGUGUUUGUAAUUAAAUAUUUUGAUAUAAUGAAACAUGAACUCAAUGGGAGUAUGGUCCCUCAUGGACUCUACUAAGCAAAUAAAUGAUUGCUGAUAUCAGACUGGGGUUGACGAGCUAGGCCAGUCGGUUGGGAGAAACCUAUGCUACAUAGGCAUAAAAAACUAUCUGAUAAGGGUUCUAAUAGAUCAUUUCUUGAUGAGGUCGAAGUAUGUUCAAAUGAAUGAGCCAAAGGCCUAUGUGACCCAUGUGUGUGAUGAUGGCCUUCAGAGACGGUAGCCAAAGCCUCAUUUAAGUACCAUUACAUAACAUGCAUAAUGAUAGCCGUUUCGAGAAAGGGAACCACUUUUUAGGGUGAAGCUGAGGCAUGUGCGAGAGAUACCCUUAUGUACCAAAGGAGCUGUGAUAGCAUUAGGUUUAGGUGACAUUGGAACAUCUCUAGGGGAGAGUCUGUAAUCCACAAACUGAGAUUACGACCCAUUUGCUCAUCGGGUAGACUUUGGCGACCUACGAAUGAGCCCCUGCAAGGACUGUGGGUCAUGAGAAACACAUGGUCUGUUUGAUAUAGCAAGUGUUGUCUGUAGUCCGCAGUUGAAGGUAGAAUGCCCCAAUGUUUAUUGAUUUAAUUCCUAGACCAUAUGGAUCAUGUUCUUAUCUAAUGAAUUUAAUUAUGUUUGUUUUGUGGUAUACAUUAUUUUAGAAUUAUUAUUUGAAUUUUUAUAAAUAUCUGGAUAUUUUAUUUAUCAAUUUUGGAUUUAUAAAAUCAGACAUAUUGAUUUUAUGUUGAUUUAAAUAUUUAAAUAAAUUCUAAAUUUUUUUUAUUAAAUUUUAAAUAGUUAAAAUUGCAUGGGGGCCCAUUGUGCACAUGGGCCCACCAUGACCUAGAUGGUGGGGCCCAUGAAACUCUUUCAUGGGUGGAACGCCCCACCCAUUUCCUUUUGAUGAAUAAGAGACUUUGACUUGUAGUCAAAGUAUUAUGUGUUUUGGAAAGGAAUUGGCUUGAGGAAGCUUUGAAUGGAUUUUUUGAAAGCAUGAGAAGGUUUGUGCCUUAUUUUGGAAUGCAUAAUAUUUUAUUUGAAAUUAUUUUAUUUAAUUUCUAUUGAUGAGAACAUAGUGAAGGAAAGAGAGAUAAGGGUUCUAGCACCCUCCAUAAUGUUCAUGACCCAUUUAUGGAAUGGAGGGCUCAAAUCUCUCACUCCACAAGUCACCCAAGAUCAAUGGUUCAUGUUUAAUCUCAUAAACGAGGUAAGCCAUGGAAAACCCUAAGAAACCCUAAUUUUAUUCUUGCUCUAUAAAUAAAAGACCUCUCCCCAUAAAAAUCUUUACACCAAAAUUUCUCUCCUCUCUCUCUCUAAUAUUUCUCUAUCUUGGUAGCAAUAGGAGGCACGCCCCAAAGCCUAGAGCUCUCCUCUCUCUCUCUCUCUCUCUCUCUCUCUCUCUCUCUAGCCUAUUCUAAAGGGCACGCCCCACCUAUUGGAGUUCUCUCUCUCUCUCUCCUCUCUCUCUUUCUCAUCUUGUUUUAAACCUAAGGGUUGCGUAGUAUUAAGAAGAUGAUAUCCUAGACUAGGUUUUGAAGGUUUGAACCUGAAGUCUAAAGUCUCGUGAUCAAGAGUUCACAGUUGCAUUGAUGGGCUUGGCCUAAACUUGCUUCCCCAGUUGAGAUUGAAGGCUGAUCGUUGAUCCCGUGCCAUCGGAUGAUGGUGAUUUGACAUGGGGUGUAAUAAGCCCGGUUGAAGUAAUCUCUGAGAUAUCUUUUGCUUCUUGCGUAUCUAAUUAUAAUCUCUUUAUAUUCCCAAGCAUAUGAAGUAAUGGUUAUUUUCUUUGUUUAAACAAAAUUGAUUUAGUGGCAUCAAGGUUUUAAGAUCUUGACUUUACUUUUCUUUGAAGCACGAGUUAUUAUAAUAAGACUACUUGUAAGUGAUCUUUGUUAAAAUAAAAACGGUGAAAAAUAAGAAAAUAAAAAUAUACAUACCCUGACAAGAUUACCUUAGUCUUUCUUUCAUUGCUAUCAGAGCAUAAUUACUUGUUGUCAUUAGGAAUCUUUUUUCUUUAUUGAGUCCAGAUUUUGCUUGGGAAUAAAAAAUAUGGUUGCUUAUACUUUCAUCUGGGAGAUUCUGAAACUGAAAGGUUUGAUGAGACCAAUUAUGCCUCUUGGAAAAGAAAGAUUGGAUAUGUCCUUUAUGAAGAAUACUUGCAUGUGACGCGCUCUAUGAGCGUCUUCCUCAUCGUCCAAUUGACAACUCAUCUCAAGCAAUCAAAGAUGAGUAUGCCACUUGGAAGAGAAGGAACUUGAGAUAUAAGCACAUCCUUUUAUGCGCCAUGACCGACUAGUAUGCUUUCGAGUAUGAGUCAAUUUACACUGCAAAUGGGAUUUAUGAAAGGUUUGAGAGAAAGUAUGCAGAUCCCUCUCUCAUGAAACAAGCCAUGGCUAUGAAAAUGUAUAAUGAGUUAAAAAUAACAGAGGGAACUAAAUUCUCGAAUCAUGUGCACAUCUUUUGCACAUUAGUUCGAGAGAUGGAAGACAUCGACAUGUAACCUACUCAUGAGAAACUUUUGUGUCCCCCCUAACUCAUGAAUUCACUUCCUAACUCAUGAGAAACCUUUGUGUCCCCCUAUAGGCUAGAAAGAAGUCAUUAAAGUUGGAGGAGCUCAUCACGACAAUCAAAGGAGAAAAAGAAAAUGAAGAACUCAAAGCAUGCACUGACGUCAACCCCAAGGGAGGCCGUACACAUGGUCAAAUUUCCAUUGUCUUUUAAACCUAAGAAAUGAAAAGUUAAAAACAAUUUUAGAAAGAGAGGAGACUUCAAAGGGAGAGAUUUUGGAAAUAAAGGAGGGAAGAUAGAGACUAAGACUUGCUUUAUUUGCAAGAAGGUGGGCUACAGGCCAAGUAUUGUCGGUCUAACCAAUUUGGUAAUAUCAACAAGGAACUUGUUUGUGUGAUCUUUGAGACGUUGCUAGCUGACCCCAAGGGAGCUUCUUGGUCUCUUGACUCGGGAGCUACGGCUCAUAUCACGAACACAAAACAUUCUUCUGCUCUUUCACUCUCAUGGGGCUGCGAGAGCAACAUAUCUAUAUGGCAGGAAACCAAGAGACCGAUGUGCUUGGAGACGAGGAUUUUGAGGUUAAAUUGAAGAGUGAGAGCGUAUUGAUCCUAAAGCAACCGUUUUAUGCUCUCAAUAUGAUGAAGUGUUUGGUUUCGGUUCCCAAGAUGUCUCUAGCUGGAUUUAUGACCACUUUCGUUGGAAAGAAAGUGGUAAUCAAGAAAGGCAAUAAUGUUGUCAUGACUAGACAUCUUGUGGAUGGCUUAUUUACUAUUGAAAUGAAAGAGAACAUUGCUUAUGUCUUGUCCCCUAAUGGAUUAGAUACUUACCCUAUGGCAUAUGAGGCUAGGACACAUUAACUACAAAAGAAUAAAACAAUUGAAAAAGGACGAUAUUCUUCAAAAUUACAAAGGUGAUUUAUCGAAAGUGUGUGAGUUUUGUGUGCAAUGAAAACUAACGGGGAAAAAUAUCACCGGGACAAAAAGAGCUGCUAACGUUUUAAAAAUCAUUCAUAGCGAUAUAUGCGGUCCUAUGAAUGUGGCUACCAAAAGCAGCAAAAGAUAUUUUAUCACUUUUAUAGAUGACCACUUGCAAUAUGACCAUGUGUAUCUUAUUCACAAUAAAAAAAUCUUGAAAAUUGACGGUCCAAAAAUACGUCACAAAAUAUAUUAUUUCCAAAACUUGAAAUCCAUUUUUUUCUCAUGUCCAUGCAUCUUGAUGUUGAAAUAAUCAAUUUGAAGAUAUUUAGGCACCAAAACAACCUUUUCUAGUGAAAGUUUUGAGGUAGGCUCAAUUUUAAUUGUUUAGAGCCUCGACUCUAUAUAAACUUUUCCCUUUAAUUAUAUAGUCUUUAUAUUCCCAAGCAUAUGAAGUAGUGGUUUAUUUUCUUUGUUUAAAGAAAAUUAGUUUAGUAGCACCAAGGUUUUAAGAUAUUGGUUUUAUUUUUCUUUAACGCAUGACUUAUUGUAAUAAGACUACUUGUAAGUGAACUUUGCCAAAAUAAAAUGGGGUGAAAAAUAAGGAAAUAAAAAUAUACAAACCCCAGCAAGAUUACAUUGGUCUUUCUUUCAAUUAGAUCCAUAUUGUGUGAGUUUUGUGAAAAUCAGCAUAAAUCAGAGCACGAGUUUGGGAGGGAACGACUUGAUGUUAUGAUUGAUCACACUUAUGGGUUCGAUGCAAGACAGCAUCAACGGGAGCAUGAAUGCUGAGAAAAAAUUGAGCAACCGACAAUCCCAAAGCCGAUGUUAUUGGCAUAGGGGAGUAGACCAAAAUCAGUGUAGAGACGAGCAAAGAAAUAAAUUUUUCUCAUCCAAAUCUAACUCUAGAGUAAGAUCAUCCCAGGCUAUGAAACUGAUACCUCCAACCCAAGGAGUUGCUAUCUCUACAACAAACCUUGAGCAUUACACAAGUAAACAGAUAAAUGUAUGUGAUUUCUUGAUCAAAGAAAACCUAAAUUUGUUAUUAGAGAGAUUGAUAAAUUGAAAGACAAAAAAAGUCCUAAAUCUAAUGAGAAAAAUGUUGAUGUAUUUAUGAAAAAGAAAAGAUAAUUGGGGGUAUGCAACAUUGUUAUCGAUAGUCGGAUGGAGGAUUCUAAAUCUAACAAAUGAAGAAAUUCAUCAUUGCAUCGAUCACAAGGAAAUGUUAACUUUUAACAUUAUUUCUAUUGAAGAUAAUGUUGAAUUUGCAAGUGAUUCACUCCUAAUGAACAAGGAAGAGAGCAACCGAUAACUGUUAUCAAAAGGGAUUUGAUAUUAGAUGAGAAAGCAGGGAUAGUGGUUUUUGAUCAAAUCAAAGUGUUGAUGGUUAGAUAUGAACUAUCUUUGUUAUCAUUGAGUGAGGAGAGUCUACCUAAGUCUUUUAAAGAGGAGGGUAUGGCUCUACUCUCAAUCCGACAACGUACAGAGGAAACUGAUGUUCAAGACAAUGCUAGUAAGAAUAUUGUUUCUCAAUAUCUUUCUGAUUUUGGGAGGCCAUAGGAGAUGAACAGUAAGGAACUAAAGUUGUUUGCAGCUUGAUUUCUUAACAAUAUAUUUGACACAAGUAAUGUUCACCUUGAAGUUGAUAAUCAUAUUCUCAAUGGUGAAAGAAAGGCUAAGUCAAUGCUUUGUUAUGAAUGGGUGAUUUCGAUCUCAACUCAUGUAUUUUGUGCUGAAAGAAACUAUGGGUUGAACAUAUGACUUAUAUUAAUUCAUUUCAAAAUUCGUGGCCGAUUUUUCUCAAGUUCCUUUGGCAAUUGGUUACAAUGAGAUAAUUGGUUUUCAAUAUUUCCAUUCUACUUGUGCUGUUAUUUUUACGUCAGAGUGGCACAAUGAAAUUGUGGAGUGUGUAGUAGCAACCAAGCAAAUGUAUGUCAAAAUUUUGAAAUUUGGACCUAUUGGUAAUGUUUGUGUUGUCAUUGCAAUCUCACUAAUUCAUUAACAAGAGGGCUAGUCUCAUUCCCAUAGAUUCAAUGUUCACUCCUACUUCUUAUAAGGUUGUUUUCAAUGGAUAUCCUCAAGAUGGUAUGAUAAGGAAUUAUGUGAGAAACUUUCCUGCUAUAUUCUCACAUGAUGUUGAAACAAGCUAUUCUAAUCUCCAUGUUAUUAUCAAUAAGUACUUAUUCUUGACCUUGAGAAAUUCAAUCUUUAGAUUUCAAGGUCAAGAGUCUAAUGGUAAGUGGGGCAUAGGCUCAAAUGUUUUUGUGGGGAGUUCUUUUAUGUUUAUCUAUACUGGGCUUGAUUCAUUGUUGGAUGGCUUCCUUUCGGAAUAUUAUGGACCCAAGACAUUAUUAAUUUGAGAUAUUUGAUAACAACUUAUGACUUCGACGGCCUUACAGAAAUGGCUAUGGGUUUUAUUUGGGGGUUCCAGGCUUUAAAACUGAAACUAAAUGAGCUUAAACUCGUUGGUUAUAUGCUAAUCUCCGCAGCGUCCUGUACUUGAGAGCAUUUUGGGCAAGCCUAUACUCUCGCUUUAAAUAAAAUAUCUUAGUAUGCCAUGAAGUAUAUGAAAGAGUAAUCUCUUUAAGCUAUGAAUCAAUUAUCUUGGUAUUGGCGACACGUGAAGGCUAUGUAAGCGCGAAAGUUGUUGAUGUUUGUGAUGCUGCCCAUAAAGUACAUACUCCUUGCAUUAUUGUCGAAGCUUACAACCUAGACAUGUUAAGAAUGUUAAGCCUAAUGCUUCACAAAGAACAUUUGCAUGGAGAUGUUGGACUUUACCAUCAACUAAAGAAAAUCAAUGAUUCCGCAACAAAACCUCGAGAUGAGUUUUUUUUUUUUUUAAAUCCAAGAAGUAUAAUGCAAAUCACAUCCGAAACGUUUAUUUAUUUUAAUUUUUAAAUUAAUUUUCAAGGAAGUAUGUAUACUUCUUUCUAUUAUUUGUUCACUUUAUUAUUUAAGAAUCACAUUAUCAAGGUUAAAAGUUGUUUCUAUUAAUAUUUUGGAUGUGGGAUUCCAAUUUGUAUGGAGUGCUCUUUCCUUUUUGCUAUGUAACCAGAAGUUAGGGAGAAAGAGUUUGGGUGACUAUGAUGUGAUUUGAAUACAAUAAUACUUAUUUUGGUGGGGGAGAUAAUAGUUCAUUGUUUUAAGGGAUUUAACAGGGUGAAGUAUUCAAGAUUAACUUCCCGUUUGGUUGAGAGAUCAAGUGAAUGGGGUAACAAAGAGAAAGGAGGAAGUCACAUGGCAUAUUGGUAGUUAAAAGGAGGGUGAGAGAAGAUUCUAAAAACGAGGAUCCAGAAGAUAAAAUAGGAGAAUUUAGAAAGGUGUUGAUUUGCAUGAUCCAGAGAGAAAUUCAUGGAAGGUCACGUAAAUUGAAGAGAGAGAAAAGAAAGAGAAAGUCAUGAGUUGUAGAGAGAGGCUUUUUUUUUUUUUUUGUAUUUAAGAGGGGUGGCAUCUCAAUUAGAACGGAUUUAGAUAUUUUGUAGGGAGUUUUUUUAUGAAAGAAGAAAAGAGAGUUUCUUCUUCCAGUAGAUUUACAGUCACCUUUUACCCUCCAUUAUUAAUGAAUUUUUGCUUGUUUAAGACAAAAAGAAGGCGGAAUGUAAUUUUCUGAGCUCCUUUUGCAUCAUUAUCCUCAUCUCAUGACCGCUAAAAAAAAGAAGUUUAUAAAAUUAUUAAUUAUAUGCAUAUUAUAUUUAAUAAAAUGAUUUAACAAAAGGAUAAGUACAAAAAAAAUAUACUACCCUGGGAUUCCUCUCAUAAAAAUCAGUGGCAUUAGGCCCAUGGCCAUAUGCAUCAACAUCUCCUAUUUGGCUAUAAGGGUUGAGUGGAAUAAUUUGUUAUCAGUAUACUCCGCUUUUGAGAAUUACUUUUAUGACAAUAUAUUGUCACGAUAUUUUUUUCAUGUUUUCAUAGAUAUGCCUCUCAUAACAAUUGUCUAUAAUUUUCAUCAUGAGGAUUUUCGGAUUUGUCACUUAUGGAAACUAACUAACUUAAACAUGUUUAAGUCCGAUUAAGAUAAUGUGCUUAAAAAUAGUUCCACACUUAGAGUCAUUGUCAAUGUGUCAGCAAUCAUAUAAGAUGAUGACAAAUUACUAACAGUUACCUCAUUUUCUCAACUACAUCAUGAAUGUAGUGUUAUUGUAACUCUAUGUGUCUUCUUUUGAAGUUAUUUGUUCCACUUUGUAUUAAUUUAAUUGCAAUGUAAUUAUCACAAAACAUUUUAAUUGGCCCAUCGAUUAUGUGCAGUUUCAAGUCAUCUAUGAAGCGCUUUAUUCGAACUUCAUAAGUACAAACAAUGCUAUAUGCAAUGUACUCGACUUCUUCUGUGUAUCUCAUAACAUACCCUUGUUUCUCGUUAGACAAAGAAACAACAACACCUUCAAAGAGAAAAAUAUGCCUUGAGGUGGACUUACUAUCGUCCUUUUUCCCAACAAAAUCUGUAUCUGAAUAGCUUAGAACUUCAAGCUUAUCUACGUGAAAAUAUAAUUUAAGAUGCUUUGUCCCCUUAAUAUACCUUAGAAUUCCUUUGACUGUGUUCCAAUGGGCUAUAUUGGGAUUGCUUUCAUAUCUACACAAGACCUACAACAUAACUCAAAUCUAGUGUUGUACAUCAUACUACAUAUACAUAGCUUGUGCAUAUGGAAUAUUAAGUUUUUCUUGCUCUUCUAUUGGACAACAGACGUAGAUAGUGGUUUAUAAUUUUUCAUUCUAUAUCUCUUAAGAGCAGAGUCAAGAUAUCAUUUUUGAAUAAAGUUCAAUAUUGUAGAUUUUUUGUGUCUAGUUAUUUUUAUGCCUAGUAUACAAGAUGUAAAUGGUUGCUUCAUGUAAAUGGCUUCAUUUAGUACAUCAUUAAAAAAUGCAGUCUUUACAUCUAUUUGGCUAAGUUCUUGGUCAUAUAAGUGAUGCUUAUUCUAAUGGAUAUAUACAUUGCUAUUGGGGAAAAAAUGACAAUAUAGUAAACUCUAUUUCUUUGGGUAAAACCCUUUGCUACAAACUGAGCUUUAAAUUUAUCAAUAGAUCUAUUAGAUUUUAGUUUCUUUUUAAGUACCCAUUUGCAACCCAUAGGUUUUCUAUCUGAGGGUAAAUCACAUAGAGCCCAAAUUUCAUUUUGCUCAAAUAGAGCCCAUUUCUCCUCUCAUGGUAUUAAGUCAUUAUUAAGAUUUUUGUGAUUUCAUUGCAUCAUUGAAGUCAAAGGGAUCAUCAAUAUCGUCUAGGUCAAUACAGUUAUCUAUCUCCUCACUCAUGCAAGCAUAGAAAUCAUUAAAAUAUGAUAUAGAAGCUCCAGACCUCUUUGGGUGUUUGAAUACUUCAACAUCAUCAUAUCGAUUCGUGUUAUCCAUAUCCACUAAAGGUAGUGGUUCUCAGUCACUUAUGAUCUUAAGAGGAUCAUCAUUAUCUACUACAUGUGGAUUUUCUUCAUUGAAAUCUUAUAGGAACUCAGCAUCUCUGCUUUCAAUGAGUAUCUGAUCCUUAUGACAAAAUCUAUAGCCCUUUGAUCCUUCAAGGUAUCCUAUAAAAUUAUAUACAAGAGUUUUAUCUUCAAAUUUAUCUAUUUUUUGAUGUAGAAUUAUAAGAUGUGUUAUUGACCCCUAUUUCUUUAAAUUACUUCUAUCAGGUCUUCUACCUGCCCACAAUUCAUAAGAGGUAAAAUUUAUUGACUUAGUUGGAGCCCUAUUAAGUAUAUACAACGUUGUACUCAAUGCUUUUCUCCAAAAAGUCUUGGAUAAACUAGCAUGAGCUAUCAUGGAUCUAGUCAUCUCUAAGAGGAUUCUAUUAUGCCUUUCAGCUAUACCUUUUUGUUGUAGCAUAUAAGCAUAGUAUGUCUUUUAAUACUAUUUUCUUUGCAAUAAGUGUUAAAAGCUUCAGAUGUGUACUCACCUCCUCUGUCAGUUCUAAGCAUUUUGAUGUUUCUAUCCAAUUACUUUUCUACUUAUAUAUUUUAAAUAUUUCGAAGGCUACUGACUUGUGGUGGUUUAAGUAAACAUAUCCAAACCUAGAAAAAGCAUAAUAAAAGUGAUGAAGUAUGACAUCUCUUUAUGAGUUUUAACAUUGAUAGGCCUACAAAUGUCUGAGUGGACCAUAUUCAAUAGCUCAUUAACUCUCUCCCUUUAUUAAAUGGUUUCCUAGUCAUUUUUCCUGACAAAUAAUGCUGACAAGUUGGAAAUUCCACAUUAUUGAGAUUUAGAAUAAGACAUUUUUUUAUUAACUUAUUUAUCUUGUCAUUUCCUAUAUGCCCAAGCCUAAGAUGCCCAAUGUAUGCGUCAACAACCAUUGCACAAUCAACAUAACCAAAAUAAAUAAAAACUUUAUUAUAAACUUUACAUGAAGAAGGAACAAAUUAUGCUCAUCAACCAAGAAUCCCAAGCAUAAAUUUGACCAUGCAUUUUGAUUGACACACAAUAAUCAGAAGCGAACUUCAAAGCCCGUUCAAAUAAAUAAAAGGUCAAAUACCAUAUUUCGCCUCAUACUAGGCAUAAAAUAUGCAUCAAUGAAUAUACGACAGACUGCCCCUACAUACAACCUAUCUGUUCUUAUACUUAAUACAUCAGAAUAAGUGUUGUUCCCCAUGUAGGUAUGUAUCUCCUUAGCUUUUAUGUGUUUAAAGUCAUCGAAAAGGCCUUUUGAGCUUGCAAUAUGACGAUUAAUGGUUGAAUCUACCCAUCAUCCAUUAAUAUAGUUGUUUGCAAGCAAGCACUCUGAGACCACACUAAUGACUUUACGCCUCUUGCUCUUAUUUCCACUAUAUUUCUGAUUUUGCAGGUUUUAUAUAUGUGGGCAUCAAUUUUUGAAUUGACAUACCUGACCACUUAUGAAGCAUUUUGGCAGUCAUUGUUUAGUCUCAUGGUUGUGGGGCUUAAUUCCUUUAUUUUUUAACCUAUUAUUUCUCUCAAGGUUUAGAAAAAAAGAUCGGUGACCCGUAUCGACCACCCCCAAAAUCGUGUGAGAUCAAUGGAUUGGCGAUCUUGAUCGAAGAAUCAGCCAGAUCGAAAAGUGUUGGCAUUAAAAAAAUUUAAAAAAAUCACUAGAAUUUCUUAAAAAUCUAGUUUUUUAGGUUUCUAAAAAAAUACUAGUGUUACAUUUUAAUUUUUCAUUAUUUUGCUAAAAAUAAAUAAAUAUUAAGAGUUUGUCUCAUGUUUGAGUGUUUGUUAUCCAUUAUAUUUAUUAUAUGGGAAAAAUAAGAUUUAAAUAGAACUAAUUGCAAUACAAUAGAUAUCUCCAACUCAAAUUUUGAUAGUAAAAAAACAAAAUUUGUACAAAAAGGAAUUUUUAUAAUAAAAAAAUUUCCUUUUCAAAGCAUUCUUUGAACAAUUAAUUAUUGGAAUUUUCAUGAAAAAUCAUAUUUCAACAUGUUACAUAUGGUUUACAUAGGUUUUUCACUUAAUACGAAGAAAUCAUAUUGCAACUAACAGACCUAUGUGGUUUACAUAGGUUUUUCACCACUUUACACAGCUAUUUCUUUGUGCUCUUUCAUUUAAUCAAAGAGUGUGGUGUAGAAGUGGCAAAAGAGCCCAGAGAAAAAUAAUCCCACAUCGGGACUUUAAGAAUGAAAACAUGUCCGUAAAACUUACAUCCCCAAUCCGAAAAUUUAAAAGAGUUGAAGAUGGCGUGGCCAUGCGAUAUGCGGAGCACGUGUUGGGCUUGAUGGGUUGGGCAAUUGGUGCGCACGUGGGAUUUGACGUCACAUAUGCAUUAAAGAUUGGUGGGUCAACAUUAAUGUGGGUAGCGAAGCCACAACAACAUUAAAGAUUGGUGGGCUAUUGCAGGUUUUAUUUUUAUUUUGGAAAAACAUGAGAUUUGAUAUUGAAAACUUGGAAAUACAAGUGGAAAAGCACUAUUGCACUCGGGAACAAUCCGAUAUUGAAAACUUGGAAAUAGAAGUGGAAAAGCACUAUUGCACUCGGGAACAAUCCUGUUUUGUGUCAGAGGAAUGGUAGAGAACUAGUACAGACCGGUUCGAACUAGCCGGUUCUUAAGAAACCUAGCUAGAUUUGAUAUAUUAUGGGUGUAGACGUCUUGAUCUCGAUUGAAAAAAUUAUGGAUAUGCUAAAAUGUCUUAGGAAGAUCACUUAAAUAUUUUAAACCAUUCACCCCACCUGAGCCUUUUACGUAGGCUCUAUCGACUCAAUAUUUCUCCGAUGGGAUCAAAGGCAUCUCAGUCACAAAACAGGUGGCCAUGAAGGUCAGAGGUCUUGUGCCAUUCCUAAUGGUGGCCAGUGCCUUCCUAGUGGCGGCCAGCACCACUCCAAAGGCUACAAGACCCAAGGCACCCACGACCGUCUAGAAUGAAUAGAAGUCUAGUGACAUUGCCAACGUCGCCAGCUCCAUUCUGAAUGUCGCCAGUCUCGGAGACCUCCAAAAGGGGGGAAACAGCCUUGGCUGAGGAGAGUUAGAAGAUACACUGACGUGGCAGGCCGCACUGACAGACAUAACAAGGCUGUAUACGGACUAUGGUUGUCGAAAUAUGAUAAGCUGAGGUUGAGAAGAUAGUACAACUAGUGUGGCGUGCCAACUAGCGUUUGGCGAUAUUGCAAAUGUUGUUGGCACCGUUCGGAGUAGCUUCAAGCUGUGAUUGGUCCAUCAAAACUAUAUCAGAAUCACCAAAACACAACGCGUGUCCAAACAAGAAGUUGAAGGAAGUCGAAAGGCCGUUGGCACCAUUGCUGAUGGUGUCAGUUACUGACAGGGCUGUAUCAAUCGCAUUAAAGAGAAAUUAAUAUUUGUUGAUCGUCAUUAAUACAACAUUAAUGAUGUGGAGUUGGUCCAAGUACCACCGGUGCCACUCCAAACGUUGCCAAAACUCUGAUGGUCCAAAAUUCACACAAAACCGACCUACGGGCGAGUGCAAAGUCUAUUUUUGUCUAUAAAUAUCUCCUUUUGCCUCAGGCCUAAGGUCUGGAUUUUCAGGAUUUUUGAUCCUAGGCUAUGUCCAAACCCCUUUGAUCUUGAGUUCAAGCUUAAGGAUGUAUAAGAAAGCCCUAAGGUGAGCCCAUUUGAGUAACCCCCCAUCUCUCCUAAACCCUUGAAUUCAAAACUAAGCUUCUAACCCCUUCAAGCUAUCUUAUCAAAUCGAAGGCGGUUUGGAUAAUCCGACUGUCCAGGCUCUCUUCCUCCAAUUUCUAUUUUCCCCAUUAACAAUUGAAAGUUCGGGAUUUCUAUGCAACUAUUCGAACUGAAUCAAUGAUGAGCCUGGGGGCCCGACCUACAACAUCAUUUUCUCGUUCCUCUCCUCUUACUUCUAGUAUUUUUGAUAGUUGCAUUCAUGUUUUUUUUCCUUAUUUUCCCUUUUCGUAUGACCAUAUUUACUUUAAUGUUGUAUUUCUUUUCCCUCCUUUAAUGCUGUAUUUAUUUGCAUUUAGUCUUCUCUCUCUUUCUCAUCUCCUUUAUUAAGUAGUUAUUCUCCUUUUCUUUGUUGUGCUUAUUUCCUUUAAGUAGGGGCAUUUAUUUCCAUUUCCCUCUUUUNNNNNNNNNNNNNNNNNNNNCAUCCCUAUCCCCUGUGUGACCUUGCCCUUCCACGUACUCUCUCUUCUUUAUUUUUGUUACUUAUCAUAUAUUUUGUUCAAUAACUUGGUGUCUUUCUUCCUUUUCUUCUUGUAAUAAUUUUUCUUUGUGCUAUUUAUUAUCUUUUUAUUGUUGUCUUGUUUUCAACCCUCUUUAUUCUCUAAUAAAUGUUUCAUUCUAUUUCUUCACCUUUUUCUUUUGUUUGAUGUUUUCUUUUCAUUCUCUCCCUUGUCUGCUUCCUUUCUUUAAGUUCUUAUUCGUCCCCUCUUUCUUGAUUUUUAAUGUAGUAUCCUCCCCCUUAUUCUCUUUAUAUUCAUCUUCUCAUCUUCUUAGCUUUGCUUCUUCUAAUUAGAUAUUGUAUGUUUAGUAUAGAUAGCGAGUUAGAUUUCAUAGUUUCCAUGCUUUUCAUCGUCUUGAUCUUUUUACAUUUCAUGGUUAGAUUCUUUACCUCUGUGCAUGUUUACUUUCCUAGUCUUUUAGCUUACUUGUGGUUAUCCUCUCUUCUUCCUUUUCUAAAUCUAUUUCCCUGAAAAUCUCCUUUUUAUCUUCAAACCCAUAGAAAAUCUUCUUUGUUGAGUUCCAAGGUUGAAAUAGGAGGGAAGCCGGCGUUUCCUGCGGUCUGAGAGGGAUAAGGUUUUAUGGCCUGACUCUCCCUCAUAACAUAAUUUGAUGAGGCCCAUUCUCUUCCAACUCUUCGAUUUGUUUGCACCCAAAAGCAAGGCAGGGCCGAAGUCCCUGUGGUGCACGUGUAUGUCGAGUAUGAACAGUCUGGCGCCCACUGUGGUGCACGUCAAGCUUCCCUUCCAUCUCAACUAUUGAAGCGGCCUCUCGAACAUCUGUUUCAAAAGGCCACCAUCAACUGGGAACUCGUCCCAUCUCGUUUCGAGCUUUUGUUUCUUGUUCGGAGUCCGAAACUGACAAACGUUAUGUAGGGGGAUGUUGCCUGUUUCGGCUGCUUUUGUUUGCUUUCUGAAAUCUCUGGGGACAACAUCAUUGGCAGUGUCGGCAGUGCCAUUUCCUAUGUCACCAGGUCUCUGUGACUCCAGAAAGUCCUCUUGCCUGUCCCAGGCUUGUUAUUGGCCCGUUCGACACUUUUUCGUGAGUCUAGAAGAACAUAGUUUUGACAAUGUUUGCACUGUCUUCAGUGACCUUGCAGUGCUACCAGAAUUAUGUUUCUCUAGUCCUCAGGGUGCGACUAUCUGAAACCACAGUUCCUUGGUGAUGUUGCCACCUGCACCAGGGGCAUAGGCAGUAGCGUCAGACCACUGUUGCCUCGGACAAUCUGUUUCUUAUUGAUAAUAUAGAUUUAUCGCCUUCCUUCCUUUCAGUGCCUCCUCGGCACCCCUGUUUCUGAGGGACCUUCUUCCCUCAAUCUAAAAUUGCACCUCGAGUAGGGUUACACCUGACUCUAAGUGCGUUCGAGUGGACAUAAUUCACACUCUUCAUUGGAACCGUGCUUCGAUCUCCCUUGAUCAGAAGUGCACAUCACCCAGCACCGAGGUGCCCGGUAUUCAACCAUUACUAGGGCACCUAGCCACUCUCUUUCACUGCACUUUGAUCUAGCUCGCCAAAUCAAAGUGCACCCCACUUGGUGUGAUUUAGCACCUCGUGUUCAUUUUUGUUUGGGUACUAUAUUGAUUGACUGAUAUACUUUUUCACAUGCAUGCAUGAUUACUACAUUCACACUUAUGCACUCAAGCGCAUGAAUUUAAAAGUUUUCCAAAUUUAGUUUCUCGAAAAACCUGCAUCGGGUUUUAAUGCUUCUGGAGUAGGCACCUAAUUCCUAGAGGAAGAGCAGAUGGGAUCAUGGGCCGUCAAUGACAGUACACCCUCUAUAUAUACUCGGCCUCUUACCCCACAAUACUUUGGACCUAUGGUCGCUUAUAGGAGUGACCCAAACCAAAGGUGGGUGUACCCUGAUAUCGUACCUCAUUUCUAAACUAGUUUUUACCCAAGGUAGGAACUCUAAGUCUGGCCUUACUCGUUAGUGGUUUAGAGGUACUCAUGUCUUUUUUCAUGUUUUGUCUACCUAAGUAAAGAGAUGAAUCACGACCCACAUAUGGUGGCGGGAGAGUCGGGUACCGAGUUGACUGCCAAACUCACAACGAAGGUCAAGUAUGUCAUCUGGCCAUCUAGUGAGAUAGCGCACAGCUAUCCCCUGAGACUAUGGGACCCAGCCUUCGCAUGGGCCCGAGGUUAGGUCACUUAGUUGUCUAUCCGAAGACCAUGUUGUUGGUCCGACACUAGGUGUCACCAGGUUUGCGCUACUCAAAGCACCUUGAACAGCCAAGUAGUUGGGCUGGGUGUAGUCCUCCAACAAGUAGGGGUACUACCACCGUCCCGACGCCGGACGCAAGAUAGGGUCUGCAUCCUUAGCGGUGGUCAAGUCGGCGAUUUAAGCAUAGGUGAUCCUCUCUUACCAGUACCUCCUCAUCCUCCUAGUACAGAGCUUUCUACUAAAGGUAGUGCCACAUGAUCCUCUAGUGCCCGCAACAGCCGUAGCGUUGACCGAGCUCCUCUUGGAGCCGCCCAACCUAGUGUAAGAUUAGCAGCUGACCCUAGUAUGGCCCAAUUUCCUCUAGGGGCAAGCCAACCAAUGGUAGACAACACUGUAGAUCCAGGCAGAAUAGCGCAAGUUGUUCUUCAAGCCAUAGGGAAUCCUAGCUUAGGACAAGCAGCAAACUUCUUUGCCCAACCUAAUCUAGGGUCCCCUUCAACCUGGUCAAGCAAAACGCGAUCCGGGGAUGGUCCCGAGCAGGCCCAUUUUGGAACCGUCGUAUCAGUUUUAUAACCCUCAACCCAGGGAAGCUCCUCUUAUGGCACCGACAUACCCGCCAUUGCAUCAGCCGACCCCUCUACACUUGGCUGGUCAAGCAGCUACCUGAGGAAGUAAUGCUUUCGUAUCAUCCGCAUAGGAGCACAUGAAAUACCAAUCCCUAGAAGGUCGGAUGAAAAUCAUGCCUGCAACACUACAAAGGCUUGGGGUCGACGAUCUGGCUCUCAUCGAGCCUUAUGAUGAGUCCUACCUAGAUGGAUUUGCCGAACUACAGAUAAAUUUCUUGCCGCCAGAAUUCGGAAAUCACUUUAAUGGCAAGGGAAAUCCACGACUUCAUGUAACCAGCUAUUUACUAGUCGUAUUAACAAUCCGAGAUAGGCCGGUUACACUUAAAGCAAUGUUUGUCCACUGUCUCGCGGGAGAUGCCAUCACCUAGUAUAAUGAAUUUGCAAUGGACUACUCUGACGCUUCGUGCCGAGUGAUGUUUAAGUGAUUAAUCAUCCAUUUCAGCACCAAGAAACUGUGGAUGAUCUCAGUAGGGGAACUAGUUGCCCUUAAAUAGGGACUGGACGAACCAUUCACCGAUUUUGUCGACAGGUUUAAUGCCAUGGCCUCAAAGGUCACAGAAUGCCUGUUAUCAGACCACGUUAAAAUCAGCAUGAUAUUGGAAAAUGCUAACAAUGAAUACAAUACGUUCUUCAGCCACGGUUGUCCCUCUGACAUUCAAUAUUAUGUCGAAUAUGAUCAUGCUAUAUGAGAGAAUUAAAUCUCAGAUGGCCGGUAUUAAGCCGAGAAAAAAUCGAAAAAUUAAUGAAGCCUCGAGAAGAUCCCGUGGGCUAAACCACAACAAGCUGGGGAGGUAAACUAGAUUAUCCUCCACCAGGCGAAUCCGAGUAAUCAGGAUCGACCAGCUGGCCAAGACCUGCGAGGAAACCAAAAUGGGGGAGGAAACUGAUACAGACCAUACAUUCAGCCCAUCAGGCCGCAAAGAUGCUUCACCUUGUUGAAACAACCUUUGUCCGAAGUACGACAACUUCUGAAGGAAUGAGAUUUGAUUCUUCUGCCACCUUCACCAUCCCACAUGAAUUGAUGGGCAAGAGAAAAUACUGUGAGUGGCAUCAACAUCAUCAACACAAUAUGCAAGAUUGCAUCACCCUAAAGCCUUAAGUCGAAAAUUUGAUAGAAAAGGGAGUCAUUAAAGUGGUGAAACCCAAUGAGCCCAUUAAAGAGGCCAAUCAAAAAAUGGGGAUCGAUGUCAACCCAUUGCCGAUCAAUGAUCCUCAGCCAAGUGCACCACCGCUUACAACCACGAAAGUUCCGGCAUCGGAUCCAAGGGGAAAGGUCGCGAUCCAUACCAUCCUUGAAGAGUCAUACAUUAUACAUCCAUCCCUACUCAUCUUCUCGUGCAUAAUACCGACUACCUUGAUGAUUCUAAGGGAAACUACCUCUCAAGAACCUCUCCAAGACAUCUUGAUGCCCACCAUUCAAAACGUCCAAAGGGAAGUUGUCCCUUUAGAAACUCAAACAUGGCAUCAAGACGUUAUAAUAUCAGUCGCUCAGGAGAUCUCAAAUGUGUUUACCUUCAAGAACCUCUGUUACCACACUAAGAUGUUGAAAUGACAACUAAUGAAGAAGCUAAGCAAGAUGAUUGCUCAUCUCCCAAUAGCCUGGUAGUGAUCAAAGUUGAAGAUGGGUAACCUACUCAGAAAACAACCCAAUUGGAAGGAGCGUACGAGGAGGUUGACACAUGGGUAAAGGUCCAACCCUCCCACAUCCUUACCAAUGGGAUCAUCACUUCGCUUACAAGACAUGGUCACCAUUUCAAGCCAACUCGGCUUAGCGCCGACACUUUGCGAGAAAGGAUAGGGAAUAACUUCUCUUUCUCUCUCUUACUCACUCUCCCACUCCCUCGGUCUCUCUCUCUCUUACCCUUUCUUUCUUUCCCUUGCUCAUUCUCCCUUUCCCUCGGUCUCUCUCUCUUACUUUCUCUCCCCUUCUCGGUCUCCUACAGUCUCUCUCUUUCUCUUACCCUCUCAUUCUCUCUCUCGAUCCUUCUCUCCCCCUCUCGGUCUCCUACGCUCUCUCUCUUUCUUUUCUCUCUCGCUCACUCUUUCUCUCUCACGAUCUCUCUCCCUCUCUUACCCUCUCUCUCUCACUCUUUCUCUCCCUCAGUCUCUCUCUCUCUCGUUUUCCCCUCUCUUUCUCACUCUCCUUCUCUUUCUUUCUUCCCCUCUUUCUCUCUCACUCUCUUUUCUCUCUCUCAUUCUCUUCUCCAUUUUUAUCUACCUCAUACUCUCUCUUUCCAUCUCUUUUAAGCUCCUCCCUCUUCUCCCCUCUAACACUCUACUUCUUCGACUCUCACUCUAUCUCUUCUACUAUCAUCUCACCCCUCUCUUGACUAUAUN
rnacentral:lncRNA from 1 species